CAAGGAUUACAAUCUGCGCACAAAGCCGCAGUCGGACAGACGCGCCGGUCUCUUCCUCUUUUAGCGGUCAUUCUUCUCGCGCGUUUCAGUGACAGAGGGCAUCUAAUAACACGAGGUUCCUUUCUGAUGUAUAGUAUCUACGCGUAGGCCUACAUCAACAAAAACCUUUAAUACAUACAGGAGAAAAAUAAUACGCACAGGUAGGCUACUACGGACUAAGAACAGCAUUCAUUUUCCAUUUGCCGGUCUACGUUUUCUUCAAGACAGCCCAUCCAGAUUUGCGCACCCAGACCCACACAAACGUCGCGGCUCCUCCUCUCCAGCCCCGGAGAGGCGCAUCGGGCGGCACGCCUCCAUGCACUCCGAGUGUCUCCAGCUGCCAUCAAACUGCCGGUGGUUCUCCUGGAACCGGCGGAAGCAGAGGCGCGUUUCACUCUGCCGCGUUCCUGAGAAGUGGGCAGCUCACCAGCUCCAAAGGGCUGCAGGAACCAGGCGCGACCGGAUCGGCCUGGGUGACCGAUGGAGGGCUGGGUGGGACUGACGGCCCGGAUGGUCUUCACGUCGGCUUUGGUGUCGCCCACUGUGGGAAUCUCCAGCACCGGGAUCAGCGUGCACUGGUCAAGUACUCCGUCCGAUGUCAUGACCUCUGUGUAACCCUCCUCGCAUCCACACACCCCAGCCUGUAGGGGGUGGUUACAUCCAAUCACUCAAUCACUGCCAGAUCACUAUGCCUCCAUACUCACAGAGCCCAAUGCCCACAAUGAUUACACUUAAUUGUAAAGCAUGCUGUUUAAUCUGUAUAUUUAACUGUUAUAUAAAUGGGUGAUUUUUUUUCUCACACUUUUUUUUCAUGUAAAAAAAAUCUGUUCCAUCGUUAAGGAAAGAAAAACACAAAGUGUUAGAGUUUGCCAAAAUGAUAUUUCCAGUUACCAAUCAAAUCUCUCGGUUUUUUACCUCAGUGCAGAAGGACCGAGGCUUGUCACAAGCUGGGUCACAUGACCUGUCAGAGGCCGGUUGGGUGAGAUGGGGACACCCGCCUGCGGGUCAGAGGGCAACAGUGAGUGUCCAAUCAGAGAGCCUCGCAGCAUGGAAACAACGGAGUGUCACUCAUCUGCGCGGCACGAUGAAACAAGGCAGCUAGUACCGAUAUAUCACCUUUAUACCACCAAACUCCACCGACACUGCAAGUCAAGCGGCAGAAGCACCUGCCAGUUCGUCUUCACCAUCAUCCUUUAGGUACGACAUACGAAAGGCGUCGGGCUCCAAGCGGUGAACAUUAAAGGAGGCGGGGGGACAAUAUUACAGAGGCACAGCUCGUCCUGCUUCGCCCAGCGAGGCAUUGACGCUCCAACGUUCAACCAGUUUCCUGACGGAGGAGAAGGUCUUUCAGCCUUUCAGUACGCAAGAUGGGGCAAAGUCCCAGGAAGGAUGAUGUUAGGCAACCCCUGGAACCCCCUCUCAUCCUAUUGGGCUCUGUUCGCCGCCACAAUGGGCAUUUUACAGCUUAAACUGAAAUUAAAUACGGUCUGUAUAUGGUUGUUUCAUUGUUACUCCUUGGUACAGUGAUGUAUUAUGGGUAAAACACAGCUAUUUGCACACCCACCAUGACUGUUGCAGCGGGACGUCUCCACCAGCCGGCUGUUCUGGUCAUAGCAGGCCAUGGCCUGGUAGCGGUGGCCCUGGCCGCACUCUUUGAUGUCCCCCUGGACCUUCAUGCCCAGGAUACCCUCCACACGGCCGCUCUCAGGCAGGACGCAGUCAGACCAGUUCCCCACGGGCUGUGCGUUGUACUUAUCACAGGGGCAGUACUGCGUCUCACUCAGGGGGUACAGCUGUGUGUUCCUGCACUGGUCUUUCUUCUUGCUCUUCCCUAAGUGUGUAACCAAGAAAACAGGGGAGGGGCAAACAUAGUCACACUGCAAAUCAAAAUUGUGAUAAAUUUGUGUGACAAUUUUCUUUUUUAAGAAUGUUACAUUACAUUACAAAGACUUUUAUGAGACCUU